rnacentral:lncRNA from 1 species
UAGUGAUUAAUUGCUACAUUAUAAACCACUUCAAAAAUGAUGGCAUUGAGGGAUUCCUGCUAUGACGGCUGACUGGAUGCAACCAGGAGGAACAUCUCCUACUGAGGAACUGGGACAUCAAGAAGACUGGCACACUCUUAGCAGAACUUCAGAGGGAAGGUUUAUUUGGUGGAUGGUUCCGCAGGCUGCACAAGAAGCAUGGCACCAGCACCUGCAUCUGGUGAAGAUCUCGGCUGCUUCUAAUCCUGACGGAAGGUGAAGGGGAGCCAGCAUUUACAGAGAUCACAUGGCAUGGGGGGAAGUGAGAGGGGUGGAGAGGUUCCAGGCUCCUUUUAACAACCACUUCUUGCAAGAACCAACAGAGCAAGAACUCAUUCUUACCUCAAGGAUGGCACCAACACAUUCAUGAGGGAGCCACCCUCAUGACCAAAAUUAGGCCCCUCCUCCAACACUGGGGAUCAAAUUUCAACGUGAGAUCUGGAGGGUCAAAUAUUCAAACUAUAGCAAGUAACCUGCCCAACAUCACACAAGCCUUUUGCAUCUCCUGUGUAGGUGUCUGCUCAAAUGGUUUUCCGAGGAUCUAGAAGCAAUGACAUCCAGGUAGCCAUGAACAUAGCCAGUGCCUGGAUUUUACCAUUCCCCCUAAUAUGAGCUAAGCUUUUUGGAGAAUGACUGAGUCUAGACCUGGGACAGAGAAUGCACAGAGAUAAAAAUUGAAGAACUGAAAGGAGAUUGAAAUACAGGCUCAAAGACACUGAAGGGCAUUAUUGCAAGCAUCUAAUAAAUUAUUGCAAACAUGUAAGGAAUAAUUGCAAAAAUCUAAGCUGAUUAGGCGGGGCACUGUGGCUCACGCCUGUAAUCCCAGCCCUUUGGGAGGCUGAGGUGGGUGGAUCACGAGGUCAGGAGAUUGAGACCAUCCUGGCUAACACAGUGAAACCCCGUGUCUGCUAAAAAAAAAAAAAAAUAAAUACAAAAAAUUAGUUGGGUGUGGUGGCAGGUGCCUGUAGUGCCAGCUACUCGGGAGGCUGAAGGAGGAGAAUGGCGUGAACCCAAGAGGCGGAGCUUGCAGUGAGCUGAGAUCACCCCACUGCACUCCAACUUGAUUGGAUUGAAGGAUGCAAAGCAUAGUUCCUGGGUGUGUCUGUGAGGGUGUUGCCAAAGGAGGUUAACAUUUGAGUCAGUGGAGUGGGAAAGGCAGACCCACCCUCAAUCUGGGUGGGCACCAUCUAAUCAGCUGCCAGCAAGCCAGAAUAAAAGCAGGCAGAAGAACAUGAAAAGAUGAGACUGGUUUAGUCUUCUUGCCUACAUCAUUCUCCUGUGCUGGAUGCUUUCUUCCCUCAAACGUCGGACUCCAAGUUCUUCAGCUUUGGGACUCGGACUGGCUUCCUUGCUCCUCAGCUUGCAGACAGCCUACUGUGGGACUAUAUGAUUGUGUGAGUCAAUACUCCUUAAUAAAAUCCCUUUAUAUACACAUCUAUCCUAUUAGUUCUGUCCCUCUACAGAACCUUAACUAAAACAAGCCCACAUCGUUUAUUUGGUUGUCCCGUGAGACAUUAUAAUGAAUGGUUCUUGGUCAGUCUGAGGUAUUCCAUGUCAAGGGCCCCUUAGCCCUGAAGCCAGAGAGGCUGGUGAUUCUAUUAUCGCAAUCUUUGUACUAACAGAAUUUAAAGUAUCUGUGGACUGGUCAUCUUUCUGGUAGUAUAUUUAAAGGUUUGAUUAAGCACUUUUUCUAUUUCGAAAAGCCUAACAUAGAUGAAGAAAAUACAACUAAAAUUGUUCCUAUUUUUUAAAUCAUGAAUGAUAUAAAUUGUUUCUUUGUUAAUGUUUUCUUGGCCAUAAGCUUCUUCAAAGAAAAGUGGAUAAUCUAUCUCCAAAAUGUCAUCCCAUUCUCUUUCUCUUCUAAAUUCUACACCUGACUGAAGACCUCAUUUGCCAUCCGGCUCAUUUGUGAGACUCCAAAAAAAAACCUGGAGCUACAAACUGGAAAAAAUACAUCUUUCUAUAUGUAUCCUCUAUUAAUGUCAGCAUAGUGAAUGUAUGACCAGCAAUAUGUCCAUGUAUGUGAAGGGGCCAUUCUGCUACCUACCAACCCUCUCUGUUCCAGAGUUCAUAGAUUGCUAGAGAUCAGAGCACACAACUCCAACAUAAACAGGACUCUAUGGUUUCAACAUGUUAUAAGAGCUUAAGGUGCCUUUGAACUCUGAAAUAUUUUAAAAUAGAUGCUAAAUAUAUAUGUACUAUUUGACUUAUUCUCUUCUAAAAUAUAUUAAAAUUAUAAUGAGAAACUUGAGGUGAUAUGAAUCUAGAAAAUGAUCAUAAAUUGUUAAUGAUUAAAGUCCCAUUACGAGCAAAUCACUGAAAAACAAUGAAGAGAUUAAUAUAUUCUUAUCCAGGCAACAUAUGGUCUUUAAAGUGAAUAUAUAAAAAUGUUCUGUGUUUAUACAUUUCUAAUUUUUCAAAAUAUUCCAAGCAGCUCAAAUUAAUUCUUGGCAUGUGUUGCCAUUUAAGACAUAUUCCAUCUUUUGAGUUACAAAAUAAAAUUAAUUUUUUUCACUUGAGGUUUUAAUUCAUGUGGAUAAUCAAGUGUCAACUGUGUAGAGAAAACCCAUUUCAUCCAAAUUAUGGGUAAAUGGUAUUCUAAGAUAAUGUUGUGUGUUUCUUUCAAAAGUCCUGCCUGUCCUACUUUCCACCCAAUUCCUUUCAUGUCCUGAUCUAUGCUAUACAUUGAUUCUUCCAUUUUUAACUUUCCAAGGAAUACUGUGAAGCCAAGGCUAGAAAUGCCUGGUACAAGUUCACACGAGGUUCCCAAUUUUCUCUGAAAUUUUCCAAUCUACUACAUAUAUUUAUUGACAAUGAUAAAGAUGAUAUCUUUUAUUUACUUAAAUGUCAUUCAAUUGUCUUGCACUACCAUGCUUUCACAGUACUUUCACACUGAUUACCUUAUUUAAUUUUCACAUCGACUCUGGAACAGGCAGGGCAAUAAUACUACAUUCAUUUUUAUAAAUUACAUAGUUGUUAAGGAUUGCUACUCAAAAUACAACCCAGACCUGCUAACCCGCAGCACCCAGUGUUUUCCAUGAUGUCCUAGGUGGAAAUAAUUUGAGUUUUCAUAUUGUAUGUACCUCAGUUGGAAUUCUAUUUCCACUCUUUACUAGCUAGGUGAAUGUGACUUUAAGUAAACUUCUUAAUACCCUUUUUGUGCCUCAGUUUCCUCAUCAGCAAGGUAGAAAUAAUAAAUACAUGUAUAAAAUACCUGGCACAGUUCUCCACGUACCAUAAGUUUUUAACAAAUAGUUGUUGUGAGAAUACUACUGAGUACAUAGACAAUACUCCAUAAAUUCAAGUUUCUUCUUCUCCAGGCAGAUGACAUCAUGGCUCACUGAAAAUGAGAUUGUCACUAAAUGAAACAUUUUGGGAGUAAAAAAUAUUUACAAAUUGAGUUGAACAAUUACCAAUAAUAAGUUAACAUUUAUUGAGCACCUAUUAUCUGCCACACUCUGUCAAUUCUGAAGUGCUUUAUCUGUAAAGCUGGGUGCUAUUCUUAUCUCCAGCUUGUACAUUAAGAAACCGAGGCACAAAUGGUUAAGUAACGACCUAAAAUCACACAACAAAGAGUCACAGAACUGAGAUCAUAAUCAGUAAAUCUGUUUCCAGAGUCCCCCAACUAUAGGUCAAUUUCAAUAUCAAAUGCUAUGUCCAAACGAUUAUAGCAAACAAAUAAAGCCAACUCUUUAUAGAAUGAAGCCCU